rnacentral:misc_RNA from 1 species
ACGAGGCUAUUUUCUUAGUGUUGGGAAUGGGAGGCACAUCAGGAUUUGGCAAGAUCCCUGGUUAAAUGACAAUGAUAAUUUUUGGGUUAAAUCAUUCCCACUCCAAGACAGAGAGAACAUGACAGUUGAAGAGCUGAUUAACCCAGUUCAUAGGUGUUGGGACAAUAAUCUUCUGAGAGGAAUCUUCCAAGCGAGAGAUGUGGAGGUCAUUAGCAGCAUGCCUAUUAGUAUUUUUGAUAGGGAAGACACCUAGAUUUGGCAUUUUGACAAAAGAGGCAAGUACUCAGUGAAAUCGGCUUAUCAUGUGGCCAGAGAUAUGAAGGGAG